UAUGAAGCUUUACUGUAACCUGGAAUGGUGUCCGGGCUGGACUUGCGCAGGAUAGGUGGGAGGCGUAGAGAUAUUCCUUGUGGGGGAUAUGGAGCCAACGGUGAGAUACCACUCUAGUUCAGCUAGGAUUCUAACCCGCGACCGUAAUCCGGUCGGGAGACAGUUUCAGGCGGGCAGUUUGACUGGGGCGGUCGCCUCCUAAAAGAUAACGGAGGCGCGCAAAGGUUCCCUCAGCACGCUUGGAAACCGUGCGACGAGUGUAAAGGCAAAGGGAGCUUGACUGCAACACCAACAAGUGGAGCAGGUAGGAAACUAGGCCUUAGUGAUCCGACGGCGCAGCGUGGAAUGGCCGUCGCUCAACGGAUAAAAGUUACUCUA
rnacentral:rRNA from 1 species